rnacentral:rRNA from 1 species
CACCUCUAGCAUUAUUAGUAUUAGAGGCACUGCCUGCCCAGUGACAUUAGUUUAACGGCCGCGGUAUCCUGACCGUGCAAAGGUAGCAUAAUCAUUUGUUCCUUAAUUAGGGACUCGUAUGAAUGGCCCCACGAGGGUUUGACUGUCUCUUACUUUCAAUCAGUGAAAUUGACCUUCCCGUGAAGAGGCGGGAAUACAAAAAUAAGACGAGAAGACCCUAUGGAGCUUAAAUUAAAGAGUCCAAUAAAUCCAAACUUAAUCCAAUAGGAAAUAAUAAUAUUUUAUCUGGACAACAAAUUUUGGUUGGGGUGACCUCGGAGUACAACAAAGCCUCCGAGCGAUUUUUACCAAGACUUACCUGUCAAGGUGAUAUAACUUAUUGAUCCAAUCAUAUUGAUCAACGAAACAAGUUACCCUAGGGAUAACAGCGCAAUCCUAUUUAAGAGUUCAUAUCGACAAUAGGGUUUACGACCUCGAUGUUGGAUCAGGACUCCCAAAUGGUGCAGCAGCUAUUAAAGGUUCGUUUGUUCAACG